rnacentral:rRNA from 1 species
CCUACGGACAGCAGCAGUGGGGAAUAUUGGACAAUGGGCGAAAGCCUGAUCCAGCCAUGCCGCGUGUGUGAAGAAGGCCUUCGGGUUGUAAAGCACUUUCAGUGGGGAAGAAAGCCUUGGGGCUAAUACCCUCGAGGAAGGACAUCACCCACAGAAGAAGCACCGGCUAACUCCGUGCCAGCAGCCGCGGUAAUACGGAGGGUGCGAGCGUUAAUCGGAAUUACUGGGCGUAAAGCGCGCGUAGGCGGUCUGAUAAGCCGGUUGUGAAAGCCCCGGGCUCAACCUGGGAACGGCAUCCGGAACUGUCAGGCUAGAGUGCAGGAGAGGAAGGUAGAAUUCCCGGUGUAGCGGUGAAAUGCGUAGAGAUCGGGAGGAAUACCAGUGGCGAAGGCGGCCUUCUGGACUGACACUGACGCUGAGGUGCGAAAGCGUGGGUAGCAAACAGGAUUAGAUACCCUAGUAGUC